rnacentral:rRNA from 1 species
AACGAACGCUGGCGGCAUGCCUAACACAUGCAAGUCGAACGAGACCUUCGGGUCUAGUGGCGCACGGGUGCGUAACGCGUGGGAACCUGCCCUUAGGUUCGGAAUAACUCCCCGAAAGGGGUGCUAAUACCGGAUAAUGUCUUCGGACCAAAGAUUUAUCGCCUUUGGAUGGGCCCGCGUUGGAUUCGCUGGUUGGUAGGGUAAAAGCCUGCCAAGGCGUCGAUCCUUAGCUGGUCUGAGAGGAUGAUCAGCCACACUGGGACUGAGACACGGCCCAGAAUCGUACGGGACGGAGCAGUGGGGAAUAUUAGGCGAUGGGCGAAAGCCUGAUACAGCAGUGCCGCGGGAGUGAUGAAGGCCGUAGGAUUGUAAAGCUCUUUUACCCGGGAUGAUAAUGACAGUACCGGGAGAAUAAGCUCCGGCUAACUACGUG